GCCGGAGUCCACCGGGCACAUGCUGCAGCACCCACCUGUGGCUUCUCCAUGUGCCGCGUCCUCUCAGGGCAACUGGAAUCUGAGAGUGUCGCGAGAGUGAGCGUGCGCAGGACCCUUGGUUCAAAAGACCCGUCCAUGGUCCUGUCCUCUGGUCAGCCAGGGAUGCCGGCACGGCCCUCCCACCCCUGCCGGGCCCAUCUUGAGUGGACCACGGCUGAAUCAGGUGACAUCUGAGGACACUCGAGGCCCUGCCAGUUCAGAAGUCCGAGUGACUUCGAGAAGCAGUGUCCCUCCCCUUGUUCUGCCUUGCACAUGUGCAGUCCGGCUCACGGCCCCUCACCUGGUGUCACUGGCUGAUGCCCCCCCCCACAUGACCGCAUGGGACCUGAGGAGAAGCAGGAGGCCCUGUAGCUUGGCGCCCCUGCCCCGGGGGGCUUCACAGAGCUGCUCCUCUGGGCCAUGCCAGGCUGCAGGGACCGCUGCGUGUUCUCCCCGGAAGCAGCCCCAGGGGGGACAGAGAGAGAGCUUUAAGAGAAAAUGUGUUUGACAAGUGGCCCACACGCUGGCGGAAGCCGAGGAGUCCCAUUGGCCACCUGCAGGCCGGAGACCAGGUACUGAUGGGGCAGGAGAAGGACGCCUCGGCUCAGGAGGCCAAGGACACACUGCACACCAGCCACCAGAGGUGGCGGCUCUCCCUCACCCAGUCGGCGACCCUGGCUGACCGCCUGGGCCUGAGACUUUCUGAAGGCAGGGACCCUUCACCCUGGGGAUGCAGGAGCAGACAAGGGAAGAAGAGAGGCCCAGACAAAGGAGACAGUGUGUAAGAAACCCAAAGCCAAGAUGGGGAAUGCCACGUCCCCAGCAGAAAGACACAGAAACAGCGGCGGCCACCAAGAUGCCAGUUAUCCCAGCAACUCAGGAGGCUGAGAUAGGAGGAUCUCAAGGUCAAGGCCAGCCUCAGUAACUUAGAGAGGCCCU